AACGAACGCUGGCGGCAGGCUUAACACAUGCAAGUCGAGCGCCCCGCAAGGGGAGCGGCAGACGGGUGAGUAACGCGUGGGAAUCUACCCAGCCCUACGGAAUAGCUCCGGGAAACUGGAAUUAAUACCGUAUACGUCCGAGAGGAGAAAGAUUUAUCGGGGUUGGACGAGCCCGCGUUGGAUUAGCUAGUUGGUGGGGUAAUGGCCCACCAAGGCGACGAUCCAUAGCUGGUCUGAGAGGAUGAUCAGCCACACUGGGACUGAGACACGGCCCAGACUCCUACGGGAGGCAGCAGUGGGGAAUAUUGGACAAUGGGCGAAAGCCUGAUCCAGCCAUGCCGCGUGAGUGAUGAAGGCCCUAGGGUUGUAAAGCUCUUUCACCGGUGAAGAUAAUGACGGUAACCGGAGAAGAAGCCCCGGCUAACUUCGUGCCAGCCGCCGCGGUAACAC
rnacentral:rRNA from 1 species